CAGAUCUAACAGCCAACAUGACUUUGUUCUCUUUUAUUAUUUGGACACUCUACAGCAUGCAAGGAUGUUUUGGACAAAUAGUUGUGACUCAGUCUGAGGUUAAACCACUCCAGCCUGGUAAAACCAUCUCUAUGGACUGUAAAGUUGAUACUGUGGUUUUCAAAAAUGAUCAAGGCACUGUCUCUAAAGGGCGUUAUUACGUAUCUUGGUACAGCCAAAAGCCUGAAGAGGCUCCCAGACUCUUGGUUUAUUUUACAAAUGAAAAAAACUCAGGAACUCCAUCAAGAUUCAGCGGCAGUGGACAAGGAAAUGGUCUUGACUUUAGUCUGACCAUCAGUGAUGCCCAGCUUGAAGAUGCAGGAGAUUAUUACUGUAUGAGCAGCCAUAAGAUCAGUGAUAAAUGGGUGUUCACACAGUGA